CCUAAGCUAUAGCUAUAGGACUAUAUCAAUCCAACUUCUUCUCCAUACCAAGUCCUUAGAAACAAACUAUUUCAACCCAACUAUAUUCAAACUCGAUCAAAUUCUAAAUAUAUGCUUAGAAUUGAUCAAACCGUCUUUUUAUCUUAAUACAUGCGACUAAGGUGAAAAUAAUAAAUUAGGUUUUUUUUACUAAUCAAAUUAAAUCGAUUGGACUCGAAUACAUAUACUUAGAGUUCAAAAAAAGGAAACCAAGUUAGACUCUAAUAUGCAUAAUUAGGGUUU
rnacentral:lncRNA from 1 species